CUUUUUGGAAGGCUGUCAUUCAGAAUUGAAGUGGAGAUUAAGAGUUUCCAGAAAAGCAAAAGAGAAAGAAAGUUAUCAC